GCACCCGUAGCUCAGGGGAUAGAGCACUGGUUUCCGGUGCCAGGUGUCGGGAGUUCAAAUCUCUCCGGGUGUAUCA
rnacentral:tRNA from 10 species